rnacentral:pre_miRNA from 1 species
AUCACCUGGGAUCUUGUUAACAUGCAAAUUCUGAUUUCGUAGGUCUACAGAUUCUGCAUCUCUAACAAGCUCCCAGGUGAUGCCCA